rnacentral:tRNA from 1 species
GCCCUUUUAACUCAAUGGUAGAGUAAUGCCAUGGUAAGGCAUAAGUCAUCGGUUCAAAUCAAAUAAGGGGCU